rnacentral:lncRNA from 1 species
AAUCUUUCAGUCAGUUUAAUUGAAGUCUGGAGCUGGCAUGUCAGUUAACUGCUAGUAGUCUGUUGUUAUUUAUGUAUUUUUGUCAUUUUGUUUAUUUUCUUUGGUUACAUCUUCUGACAUCAGACUCGGAUUUCUCUUGAACUGAAUUUUAAUGUGCGUAUUGUUAUGCGUUUACUUUACUACAUUGGUUAGAGGUAUAGGGGGAGGGUUGAGAUCUCACAAACAUGUUUAACCCCGCCGCAUUUUUGCGCCUGUCCCAAGUCAGGAGCCUCUGGCCUUUGUCAGUCUUGUAUUAUUUUAAUUUUAGUUUCUUGUGUACAAUUUGGAAAUUAGUAUGGCGUUCAUUAUCACUGGACUAGUAUAUAUUUGUUUAGGGGCCAGCUGAAGGACGCCUCCGGGUGCGGGAAUUUCUCGCUACAUUGAAGACCUGUUGGUGACCCUCUGCUGUUGUUUUUUUAUUUGGUCGGGUUAUUGUCUCUUUGACACAUUCCCCAUUUCCAUUCUCAAUUUUAUUAUAUGAAAAUUCAUAUAUAAAUAAGACAUAGUUCUAUGUUUCCCCAAACUUGCAUUUUUCGCUGGAUGUUUAAAUAGAUUUAUGAACAAACAAAAUCAUGAACAAAAUCUGGCUGUAUAGUCAUUAUGCUUUAUGUUUUUUUUUGUCUUACAUAUGAAGUGUACGCAUGUAUGCUUUGCUAAAAAUGGUCAAGAAUGGCUGUGUGUUGUGGUGAAAAAAAUAUUUGUUCCAUGAUUUUUUUAAUAUUUUCUUUUUUAUUAUAAUAGUUUUAAUAAAAUUGUGUUUGUAUAUUUUAUAAGACACACCUAUUUUAUAAAUUCAUCAACAAAAUCUGAUUGUAUAGUUUUAAAUACGUGUGUAUGCUUUAGAUUUUUGUCUUAAACGUAAAUUGUACGCAUGUAUGCUACUUCUAAGAAUGAUCAACAUGGCUUUCACUAUACAUAUGUGUUGUGGUGAAAAAAAAUAUUUGUUACAUGAUUUUUUUAAUAUUUUCUUUUUUAUAAUAACACUUUUAAUAAAAUUCUGUUUGUAUAUUUUAUUGAUAUACCUAUUUUAUAAAUUCCGGUUGUCAAUUGUAUGCUUCAAUCAUUGUAAUAGCUUGUGUCAUGAGUGGUAUCGUGGUAGUGUGCUGAAAUCAUGUCUUUUGUACCAGACAAUGCCCAGCUAAAGACUUUAAAACAAGUAUUAGCUGCUACUCCGUCAAAGUGAACGGUAUUUGGAGAAAGAAAGAGCAGAAAUGUGUUGGCUCAGAGGCGAAUACUUACAGAACAUGUAUUUUUAUCUUAAUUAAUCAGUAAGCAUAUUUUUCGUCCUCCUUCGGCUUCUACCUCGAGAAAGAACUACCUUUAAUUUGGCUAAAUUUAAUGCAUUUGUAUAUAGUUUUCUUCUUAUAAUUCACUUUUGAUGUUUACCUUGAAUGAGCAUUUCACUAAAGCUAAAAAUUGCGAGGAUGUACAAAAAUAUUAUGCCUUUUUUGACAAGCUGGCUGUCCUGCUCUAACUGCAUGUUCUGGGUGAUUCUAUGAAUAUUUAUAACUGUAUGUAAAGCUUCUCAUACGCAGCAUCGGGGUUAGAAGUGGCGAAGUCUAAAUAAAAAAUGUUUCGGGUUUUGGAACUGACUAAUAAUAAUAAAACAAUGUUAUAAACGCAAUAUACACAACAAUUUACAAUGCAAAAUAAGCAAAUAUGCUUACAGUAACUUGAAACAAGUACGCAACUUGCUAAUAUAAUAUAGUAUCCCCGGCUUAGUAUAUUUCUAGGAUUUCGAUUGGUUAACGCACGUCGUUACAAAACCCAUGGCCCCUUGGUGUUGCUAACCCAUAUCCCCGGACGUUGCUAACCAUUAUCCCGGGGAACUUCACGCAAGUUUUCCUUAGUUCCAUGAUCCCUCCGCAAAUCUGGACAUUACAAGGUAGAUACGAAGUUUAAAGAAUUUUGAAUUUAAUUUGGUACUCACAUUUUUCCAGAAAUGAGCAGGGACCGAUACUCGCCUUGGUUCAUUACCUCACGUGACAUCUCCACUCCCAACGCGCGUUUUUAUCUUUCAUCUUUAUUCACUUAUUCUAUUUAAAAACAAAAAAGAAUUAAAGGUAUUAAUUAUUAGUUUAUUCUCCGUAUUGUGUUAUAUUUCUUUUGACUCUUUAAAGACACGUUUGGUGUGAUUAUUUUAUGAGCAAAUUUAAAUAAAACACAGAUACCUUAAAAACACUAAAACAAAAACUGAGACUCCCUAUGCAGACCCUCCUUCUUCUUUUUUGUAUAUGUAUCAUUGUAUGUGUUAUCCCUUUUCUUCAUCUAUGAAUUGUGCUAUUCAAAAAUAUAUCAUGGGUCUCACUAAAGGGAAGUUACUCAGUAUUGAAACUUGUUAGUUUUAAAAAAUACAAGUGUCUCUUAUCUUAAUAAAACAAUUUUCUUUUUUUACUUUAAGGAGAACUUUCGUAACUCCUUUUUAUACGACCGCAAAAAUUUUAAUUUUUCGUCGUAUAUUGCUAUCACGUUGGCGUCGUCGUCGUCUUCCUGCGUCGUCGUCGUCCGAAUACUUUUAGUUUUCGCACUCUAACUUCAGUAAAAGUGAAUAGAAAUCUAUGAAAUUUUAACACAAGGUUUAUGACCACAAAAGGAAGGUUGGGAUUGGUUUUGGGAGUUUUGAUCCCAACAUUUUAGGAAUUAGGCCAAAAAGGGCCCAAAUAAGCAUUUUCUUGGUUUUCGCACUAUAACUUUAGUUUAAGUAAAUAGCAAUCAAUGAUAUUUUGACACAAGGUUUAUGACCACAAAAGGAAGGUUGGGAUUGAUUUGGGAGUUUUGGUUCCAACAGUUUAGGAAUUAGGGGCCAAAAAAGGGCCCAAAUAAGCAUUAUUCUUGGUUUUCGCACAAUUUAGUAUAAGUAAAUAGAAAUCAAUGAAAUUUAAACACAAGGUUUAUGACCACAAAAGGAAGGUUGGGAUUGAUUUUGGGAGU